rnacentral:rRNA from 1 species
UGCAGUCGAACGGAGUUAAGAAAAAAGUUUACUUUUUACUUAACUUAGUGGCGGACGGGUGAGUAACGCGUGGAUAAUCUACCUGUAAGACAGGAAUAACGCCGGGAAACCGGUGCUAAUACCGGAUAACCUCUUUUUAUCGCAUGGUGAAAAGGGAAAAGGUGGCCUCUUUGCAAUGUUGCCGCUUACAGAUGAAUCCGCGUCCCAUUAGCCAGUUGGUGGGGUAACGGCCCACCAAAGCGACGAUGGGUAGCCGGCCUGAGAGGGUGAUCGGCCACACUGGAACUGAGACACGGUCCAGACUCCUACGGGAGGCAGCAGUGGGGAAUCUUCCGCAAUGGGCGAAAGCCUGACGGAGCAACGCCGCGUGAGCGAAGAAGGUCUUCGGAUUGUAAAGCUCUGUGAUAUUGGACGAACAGAUUUCUUGUAAACAGCAAGGAAAAAUGACGGUACAAUAAGAGGAAGCCACGGCCAACUACGUGCCAGCAGCCGCGGUAAUACGUAGGUGGCAAACGUUGUCCGGAAUUACUGGGCGUAAAGGGCGAGUAGGUGGUUUAUUAAGUCAGAAGUGAAAACUCCGGGCUCAACCUGGAGACUGCUUCUGAAACUGGUAGACUUGAGUGCAGGAGAGGGAAGUGGAAUUCCUAGUGUAGCGGUGAAAUGCGUAGAUAUUAGGAGGAACACCAGUGGCGAAGGCGGCUUCCUGGCCUGUAACUGACACUGAGGCGCG